rnacentral:rRNA from 1 species
CGCGAAGAACCUUACCUUACUCUUGACAUCCAGAGAAUUUGCUAGAGAUAGCUUAGUGCCUUCGGGAACUCUGAGACAGGUGCUGCAUGGCUGUCGUCAGCUCGUGUUGUGAAAUGUUGGGUUAAGUCCCGCAACGAGCGCAACCCUUAUCCUUUGUUGCCAGCGAGUAAUGUCGGGAACUCAAAGGAGACUGCCGGUGAUAAACCGGAGGAAGGUGGGAUGACGUCAAGUCAGUCAUGGCCCUUACGAGUAGGGCUACACACGUGCUACAAUGGCAUAUACAAAGAGAAGCGAACUCGCGAGAGCAAGCGGACCUCAUAAAGUAAUGUCGUAGUCCGGAUUGGAGUCUGCAACUCGACUCCAUGAAGUCGGAAUCGCUAGUAAUCGUAGAUCAGAAUGCUACGGUGAAUACGUUCCCGGGCCUU